CGCAUGCGCAGUGACUGCCGGUAGCUCCUGAAAGUGACAGGCAGGGUAUGCAGGGCGGCGUUGAGUCCUCGGGGCCCCGGCUGUCAGGAACAAUGGAGAACCUAGAUACCUGCCUAGAAAAUGA